rnacentral:misc_RNA from 1 species
CUUCGAGCCCUUAGUUCUCUCUGGUUGGCCCGGCCACGAGAAUGACGAAAUGAAAGCAAUAUAUUACCCCACUAGAAAGUUAUUUUGGAGAUUAACCCUAUGACCUUACUUGAUAACUUCUGAGUUUUCGUGAUAAUCGAUUAUGAUCCAAGUGUACGGAACUUGGAAAUCAUCUGCUGAACAAUUAUAAUGCAGUGAGGUCAUGGUUGUAGUUGUAGGUUUCCGCAUUCCGCAUUGCAGCUGUAACAUCAGGUGUGUCUUGUAGAUUUUAUGCUUAUCCUGUGUUGUAAGACAUUUAGUGCCAAUAAUUUGAUUAAGCUUCAUGUUUGUUAGAAGUGAUAAAGGAAGAAAAGGAGUGGUACAUGUAACAUAGCAUACAGAAUCAGAAUCAAGGUGUAGUUUACAGCUAUCAAUUUGUAUACUAAAAAUCAGAAUCAAGGUGUAGUUGCAUUUGGGUGUUCUUUAAGAUUUUUUUUUUUUUAUUAAACAAAAA